UUAAAUUGAAGAGUUUGAUCAUGGCUCAGAUUGAACGCUGGCGGCAGGCCUAACACAUGCAAGUCGAGCGGAAACGAGUUAUCUGAACCUUCGGGGAACGAUAACGGCGUCGAGCGGCGGACGGGUGAGUAAUGCCUAGGAAAU
rnacentral:rRNA from 1 species